UCUUUAAAUGGGGACUAGUAUCAACGGCAUCACGAGGGUUGCACUGUCUCCUUUUUCCAAUCAGUGAAACUGAUCCCCCCGUGAAGAAGCGGGGAUACAACAAUAAGACGAGAAGACCCCAUGGAGCUUUAAAUCUAACAGCAACUCUGCCAUACAAUUUCCCCACAACCACAGAGCAUGCAUGUAAAUUUUAGGUUGGGGCGACCGCGGAGCAAAAAUUACCCUCCACGACGAAAAGAGCUAAACCCUUAUCCUAGAGACACCCCUCCAAGAAUUAGUACACUAACGAACUAUGACCCGAUAAUCGAUUAACGGACCAAGUUACCCUGGGGAUAACAGCGCAAUCUACUUCGAGAGCCCAUAUCGACAAGUAGGCUUACGACCUCGAUGUUGGAUCAGGGUACCCAAAUGGUGCAGCCGCUAUUAAUGGUUC
rnacentral:rRNA from 1 species